rnacentral:lncRNA from 1 species
UGCCCAGACCCCAAAGUAGGAACCAGGAGCUCCUUUGAGGACGUGCAACCCUUCUCAGAAGUCUCACAUAACAGCAUGAGGUACUCAAAAAGGGCCAGGGUGCAGCAGUGAGUGCCAGUCUGAAUGAAGGAAGCAUGCGUGGCCUGGAGCCUCACUGUGUUCCAGGCACCCAGAAUAAGUUCUCACAUGGGA